ensembl:lncRNA
GAUCCAGAUAGCAUGUGUCUCAGGGUUGGGUUAGAUGUUGGUUUAACAUGGAUUCAGAUAGCAUGUGUCUCAGGCUUAGGUUAGAUGUUGGUUUAACAUGGAUUCAGAUAGCUUGUGUCUCAGGGUUGGGUUAGACGGUUUAACAUGGAUUCAGAUAGCAUGUGUCUCAGGGUUGGGUUAGACGUUGGUUUAACAUGGAUUCAGAUAGCAUGUGUCUCAGGGUUGGGUUAGACGUAGGUUUAACAUGGAUCCAGAUAGCACGUGUCUCAGGGUUGGGUUAGAUGUUGGUUUAACAUGGAUUCAGAUAGCAUGUGUCUCAGGGUUGGGUUAGAUGUUGGUUUAACAUGGAUUCAGAUAGCAUGUGUCUCAGGGUUGGGUUAGAUGGUUUAACAUGGAUCCAGAUAGCAUGUGUCUCAGGGUUGGGUUAGACGUUGGUUUAACAUGGAUUCAGAUAGCAUGUGUCUCAGGGUUGGGUUA